rnacentral:rRNA from 1 species
UACAGAGGGGCAAGCGUUGUUCGGAAUUACUGGGCGUAAAGGGCGCGUAGGCGGCCUGCUAAGUCGAACGUGAAAUCCCCGGGCUCAACCCGGGAACUGCGUCCGAUACUGGCAGGCUUGAAUCCGGGAGAGGGAUGCGGAAUUCCAGGUGUAGCGGUGAAAUGCGUAGAUAUCUGGAGGAACACCGGUGGCGAAGGCGGCAUCCUGGACCGGCAUUGACGCUGAGGCGCGAAAGCCAGGGGAGCAAAGCGGGG